GUGCAGUGAUGUGUGAAUUUCUUCACCUGAAAACACUGAAGAGUAAACCGAGCUUUUUAACCCUGAGUAGCA
ensembl:snoRNA Gm22879 small nucleolar RNA SNORD36